AAAAAGACAAACCCUGGGUUUCCGUUGUCCAACAUUUGACUAUCCGUCUUAUAUGAAAUUUUUUUAUAAUUAGUAUUUUCAUUGUUGUUAAAUGAUAAAACAUGAUUAAUAAGACGUGACCUGUCUUUUUAAUUUUUUUUUAUAAUUUUUUCAAAUAAGACGGACGGUCGAACGUUGGACNNNNNNNNN
rfam:Oryza barthii chromosome 9, whole genome shotgun sequence.